UAAGACGUAGGGUCCAAGCGUUGUCCGGAUUUACUGGGCGUAAAGAGCGCGUAGGCGGUCCGUUAAGUGUAGAGUGAAAGCUCCGGGCUCAACUCGGAAAUUGCUCUGCAUACUGGCGGACUCGAGGACGGAAGAGGUUUGUGGAAUUCCUGGUGUAGCGGUGAAAUGCGUAGAUAUCAGGAGGAACACCCAUGGCGAAGGCAGCAAACUGGUCCGUAUCUGACGCUGAGGCGCGAAAGCGUGGGUAGCAAACAGGAUUAGAUACCCUGGUAGUCCACGCCCUAAACGAUGGAUACUAGGCGUGAGAGGUAUCGACCCCUCUCGUGCCGCAGCUAACGCACUAAGUAUCCCGCCUGGGGAGUACGGCCGCAAGGUUG
rnacentral:rRNA from 1 species